AUAUUGGACAAUGGGCGAAAGCCUGAUCCAGCCAUGCCGCGUGUGUGAAGAAGAUCUUCGGAUUGUAAAGCACUUUAAGUUGGGAGGAAGGGCAGUAAAUUAAUACUUUGCUGUUUUGACGUUACCGACAGAAUAAGCACCGGCUAACUCUGUGCCAGCAGCCGCGGUAAUACGAAGGGGGCAAGCGUUGUUCGGAAUUACUGGGCGUAAAGGGCGCGUAGGCGGUGUACUAAGUUAGGCGUGAAAGCCCUGGGCUCAACCCGGGAAUUGCGCUUGAUACUGGUACGCUAGAAUCCAGGAGAGGUUGGUGGAAUUCCCAGUGUAGAGGUGAAAUUCGUAGAGAUUGGGAAGAACACCGGUGGCGAAGGCGGCCAACUGGACUGGUAUUGACGCUGAGGCGCGAAAGCGUGGGGAGCAAACAGGAUUAGAUACCCUGGUAGUCCACGCUGUAAACGAUGUGUGCUAGCCGUUGGGGCUCUUAGAGCUUCGGUGGCGUCGCUAACGCUCUAAGCACACCGCCUGGGGAGUACGGUCGCAAGAUUAAAACUCAAAGGAAUUGACGGAAUCGAAUUCCCG
rnacentral:rRNA from 1 species